rnacentral:rRNA from 1 species
AGCCUGAACGCUGGCGGCGUGGCUAAGACAUGCAAGUCGCACGGUGUAGCAAUACACAGUGGCGAACGGGUGAGUAAUGAAUCGCUAAUGUGCCCCGGACUCUGGGAUAGCUAUCCGAAAGGGUAGGUAAUACCAGAUGAUAUAACCGCUCCGCAUGGAGUGGUUCUCAAAGGUCCGCCGGUCUGGGAGCAGGCGAUUUCGUAUCAGCUUGUUGGUGAGGUAACAGCUCACCAAGGCGACGACGCGUAGCCGGACUGAGAGGUUGGCCGGCCACACUUGGGACUGAGACACUGCCCAGACUCCUACGGGGGCUGCAGUAACGAUCUUCG